GAAGUAAAAGUCGUAACAAGGUUUCCGUAGGUGAACCUGCGGAGGAUCAUUACAGUAGUCAUCCGGGUUGCCGCAAGGCCUCCCGGGUAACCUACCACCCUUUGUUUAUUACACUUUGUUGCUUUGGCAGGCCUGCCCUCGGGCUGCUGGCUCCGGCCGGCGAGCGUCUGCCAGAGGACCUAAACUCUGUUUGUCUAUAAUGUCUGAGUACUAUAUAAUAGUUAAAACUUUCAACAACGGAUCUCUUGGUUCUGGCAUCGAUGAAGAACGCAGCGAAAUGCGAUAAGUAAUGUGAAUUGCAGAAUUCAGUGAAUCAUCGAAUCUUUGAACGCACAUUGCGCCCCCUGGUAUUCCGGGGGGCAUGCCUGUCCGAGCGUCAUUACAACCCUCAAGCUCAGCUUGGUGUUGGGCCCCGCCGCCCCGGCGGGCCCUAAAGUCAGUGGCGGUGCCGUCCGGCUCCGAGCGUAGUAAUUCUUCUCGCUCUGGAGGUCCGGUCGUGUGCUUGCCAGCAACCCCCAAUUUUUUUCAGGUUGACCUCGGAUCAGGUAGGGAUACCCGCUGAACUUAAGCA
rnacentral:rRNA from 1 species